UACGUAGGGAGCAAGCGUUGUCCGGAAUCAUUGGGCGUAAAGCGCGCGUAGGCGGCCUCAUAAGUCCGUUGUGAAAGUCAAAGGCUCAACCUUUGAAAGCCGAUGGAUACUGUGAGGCUAGAGUACGGAAGAGGCGAGUGGAAUUCCUGGUGUAGCGGUGGAAUGCGCAGAUAUCAGGAAGAACACCCGUGGCGAAGGCGGCUCUCUGGGACGGUACUGACGCUGAGACGCGAAAGCGUGGGGAGCGAACAGG
rnacentral:rRNA from 1 species